UUAAGCGACUAAGCGUACACGGUGGAUGCCCUGGCAGUCAGAGGCGAUGAAGGACGUGCUAAUCUGCGAUAAGCGUCGGUGAGGUGAUAUGAACCGUUAUAACCGGCGAUUUCCGAAUGGGGAAACCCAGUGUGUUUCGACACACUAUCAUUAACUGAAUCCAUAGGUUAAUGAGGCGAACCGGGGGAACUGAAACAUCUAAGUACCCCGAGGAAAAGAAAUCAACCGAGAUUCCCCCAGUAGCGGCGAGCGAACGGGGAGGAGCCCAGAGCCUGAAUCAGUGUGUGUGUUAGUGGAAGCGUCUGGAAAGGCGCGCGAUACAGGGUGACAGCCCCGUACACAAAAAUGCACAUAUUGUGAGCUCGAUGAGUAGGGCGGGACACGUGGUAUCCUGUCUGAAUAUGGGGGGACCAUCCUCCAAGGCUAAAUACUCCUGACUGACCGAUAGUGAACCAGUACCGUGAGGGAAAGGCGAAAAGAACCCCGGCGAGGGGAGUGAAAAAGAACCUGAAACCGUGUACGUACAAGCAGUGGGAGCCUCUUAAUGGGGUGACUGCGUACCUUUUGUAUAAUGGGUCAGCGACUUAUAUUCUGUAGCAAGGUUAACCGAAUAGGGGAGCCGAAGGGAAACCGAGUCUUAACUGGGCGUUAAGUUGCAGGGUAUAGACCCGAAACCCGGUGAUCUAGCCAUGGGCAGGUUGAAGGUUGGGUAACACUAACUGGAGGACCGAACCGACUAAUGUUGAAAAAUUAGCGGAUGACUUGUGGCUGGGGGUGAAAGGCCAAUCAAACCGGGAGAUAGCUGGUUCUCCCCGAAAGCUAUUUAGGUAGCGCCUCGUGAAUUCAUCUCCGGGGGUAGAGCACUGUUUCGGCAAGGGGGUCAUCCCGACUUACCAACCCGAUGCAAACUGCGAAUACCGGAGAAUGUUAUCACGGGAGACACACGGCGGGUGCUAACGUCCGUCGUGAAGAGGGAAACAACCCAGACCGCCAGCUAAGGUCCCAAAGUCAUGGUUAAGUGGGAAACGAUGUGGGAAGGCCCAGACAGCCAGGAUGUUGGCUUAGAAGCAGCCAUCAUUUAAAGAAAGCGUAAUAGCUCACUGGUCGAGUCGGCCUGCGCGGAAGAUGUAACGGGGCUAAACCAUGCACCGAAGCUGCGGCAGCGACACUAUGUGUUGUUGGGUAGGGGAGCGUUCUGUAAGCCUGUGAAGGUGUACUGUGAGGUAUGCUGGAGGUAUCAGAAGUGCGAAUGCUGACAUAAGUAACGAUAAAGCGGGUGAAAAGCCCGCUCGCCGGAAGACCAAGGGUUCCUGUCCAACGUUAAUCGGGGCAGGGUGAGUCGACCCCUAAGGCGAGGCCGAAAGGCGUAGUCGAUGGGAAACAGGUUAAUAUUCCUGUACUUGGUGUUACUGCGAAGGGGGGACGGAGAAGGCUAUGUUGGCCGGGCGACGGUUGUCCCGGUUUAAGCGUGUAGGCUGGUUUUCCAGGCAAAUCCGGAAAAUCAAGGCUGAGGCGUGAUGACGAGGCACUACGGUGCUGAAGCGACAAAUGCCCUGCUUCCAGGAAAAGCCUCUAAGCAUCAGGUAACAUCAAAUCGUACCCCAAACCGACACAGGUGGUCAGGUAGAGAAUACCAAGGCGCUUGAGAGAACUCGGGUGAAGGAACUAGGCAAAAUGGUGCCGUAACUUCGGGAGAAGGCACGCUGAUAUGUAGGUGAAGCGACUUGCUCGUGGAGCUGAAAUCAGUCGAAGAUACCAGCUGGCUGCAACUGUUUAUUAAAAACACAGCACUGUGCAAACACGAAAGUGGACGUAUACGGUGUGACGCCUGCCCGGUGCCGGAAGGUUAAUUGAUGGGGUUAGCGGUAACGCGAAGCUCUUGAUCGAAGCCCCGGUAAACGGCGGCCGUAACUAUAACGGUCCUAAGGUAGCGAAAUUCCUUGUCGGG
rnacentral:rRNA from 1 species